AGCGAACGCUGGCGGCAGGCCUAACACAUCCAAGUCGAACGAAGUCUUCGGACUUAGUGGCGGACGGGUGAGUAACACGUGGGAACGUGCCUUUAGGUUCGGAAUAACUCAGGGAAACUUGUGCUAAUACCGAAUGUGCCCUUCGGGGGAAAGAUUUAUCGCCUUUAGAGCGGCCCGCGUCUGAUUAGCUAGUUGGUGAGGUAAAGGCUCACCAAGGCUACGAUCAGUAGCUGGUCUGAGAGGAUGACCAGCCACAUUGGGACUGAGACACGGCCCAAACUCCUACGGGAGGCAGCAGUGGGGAAUCUUGCGCAAUGGGCGAAAGCCUGACGCAGCCAUGCCGCGUGAAUGAUGAAGGUCUUAGGAUUGUAAAAUUCUUUCACCGGGGACGAUAAUGACGGUACCCGGAGAAGAAGCCCCGGCUAACUUCGUGCCAGCCGCCGCCGUAAUAC
rnacentral:rRNA from 1 species